UCUCUUUGAAUUUCUCUUGUAAUCAAAAAUAUGUCAAAGAGAAUUAUUCUGCAGUGGAAAACACUGAAUGGGAUAAUUAAUACACAUUCAUGAGGUCACAGAUGUUUCAGUGACUUGCUCAUAAUUUAUACUUCAACAGCUUAUACUUAAGCUUGUGUGAAUGGGGAAGAGUAAAGUCCAAGGAGCCCACUUGAGAAUCUGACUUGCUUACCUACUAAAUGAAUAUUGUAUAUAGAAGCAGAGUAGCCAUCUUCCCCAAGAUGAUCUUCCUUCACUAGUUCCGAUUUUAAACUGUCUUAUCUCAAUAAACACUUCAGAGUUUCACUUUCUGACCAAUUAUCUCAGCAUUGUUUUGUGGUACUGUCUUCAUGUAGAAUAUAGGAAACCUCCAAAUGCACUUGCUUAGUGCCUUUACACAGCCCCAAGUGUGAUCGGUCAUGAAUGUGUUGGAUUGUGGGUGUCAUAAAAGCAUAAGUAAUGCUAAUGUAUUCAGGUAAAAUACUGAGCUCUUGUAGUAAAAUGAUACUUAUGGCAUUUUAUAUUUACUACUUUUGGGGAUAAGAGAACUUGAGAAUUUUAAAGUGCCCUAUCAACAGCUGAGUAUAGCAAGAAAUGGAAGAACAUCAUCUGAGUAAAACAACAACAGCAAACAAAAAACUUAAGUUUUUCUGUCUGUCCCAAACCUAUAUACAUAAGUAUCUAGUACUUUCUGCUGGACCUGAAAUUUGAGGAGGAAUAGUAUUUAAGUGGGGAAAAAAAAUACCAAAUUGGUGCAACAUUACUUUUGCACAUUGCAGUAAUGUAAGUAGAGAAAUCUAAAAGUUAGGUUUGAAGGCAAAACUUCUCUUCUCUUGUUCAUAUACAUUACAAGCAAACAGUCAGUUAGUGCAUCAAGUUAUUUGUUCAAUCUGUAAGCAUUAUCCCAUGAUUUUUCUGCUUGCAAGGAGUCCUCACUCUCAUAACUAGUCUUAUCAGAGGCAAUAGGAAAAAGGAUGUAAAUAAGAUUUGUUAGAUUUUAUUAUUAAGCAAGAAUAUUUAAUGUUUAGCACAAGGGAGGGCAGUGUAACAGAUUUUCCUGAUGCUUGUGGCUGCUUGGAAACCUUUUGCAAGAGAAAAUCCAUCAAUAUAUAUAGAAGGCAGUCUACGAUUACUUUCAUCAUAUAUACUAUGUGUCACAAAUCAGAGGGUUUUUUUGUCCUCUUCAUGUUUGGUAAGUUCGUUUUUUUUUUUUUUUUUUUACUUAUUUCUUUUCAAACUAAUUUAAUGUCUUCAAUUUACACUUUUCAAUUCAAUGCAGACUAAUUUACCCUUUUUCCUCUGGCCUAGCUAAUUCAGUGAGAAGCUAAUCAGUCCUCAUAGGAUUAUGUUCUGCAGAUCACUGGCCUGAAAAUGACAUAUAAAUUAGAUUCUCUCCCAUUGGCAGGAUGCUCCUGUAGAAGGCUACCUUUUCUCUACAGCUUAUUUAAAAAAUUUUCUUAUUUUUUUCUUGAGAAGUGGAUGGCUGCCAGGAUUUCUCAUACUCUAUUGCAUUGCUAUAGCAAUUGCAAGACAUUUGAUCAGUUAUCAGCAGAGUAUUAAUAUUCAGCUGAAAGGAUCGAACAGAUGCUAGCCCACAAAGAGAUCUUGAGAAACAACUUUACUAAAAUAUGAUUACAGUUGAAUUAGAAGCAAACCUUGGUAGAUAAUGUUCCCGAAAUGAAAAGACUUUUUUUCUGAUCUGUGUAGAUGAGGUAUCAUAAGUACAGUUAGCAUGACAAGAUUAUCAAUUUUUAAAGCUCUAGAAAUGCUGUAAAAUUGCCCAACUUUACAGUACAAUCUAAUUUGAAUACGAACAGCUUUGGGAAUUUAUUUCCCCAAACUCAACAUUCAAAAUACAAACAUUACUUUGGAACCAAUUUAAACAUUAAUUCUUUGGCUCUGCAUUUCUAAUGUGACAGUUAUUUGUGAAGGAGGUCUCUGUUAGCUCAAUAAAUGUUUAUAAUUCAUCUUUGUCAUGGGUUACAGAUGAAAAAUUCUGCUCCGUUUAGGGUGUAUCACAGAACUGUAGGGGCUAGAAGGGACCUCAAGAUCAUUGAGUCCAACCCCUAUGCUGGAGCAGGUACCCUACAAUAGGUUGUGCAGGUAAGUGUCCAGGCAGGUUUUGAGUAUCUCCAUAGAAGGAGACUCCACAACCUCUCUGGGCAACCUGUGCCAGUGCUCCAUCACCCUCAACGUAAAGCUCUUCCGCACGUUAGUAUGGAACUUCCUGUGUUCAAGUUUUAAGCCAUUACUCCUUGUCCUUUUGCUACACGCCACCAGGAGGAGCCUGGCCUGGUAUAUACAUGUGUGUGCAUUCAUUUCUUUCCAGUAGAAAGCUUAGAGGGGAGAAUUGUUAUUUGGCAGAAGAGACAUUUAAAUUUUUAAAUUGUAUUUAAACAAGAACUAAUGCUGUGUCAGAUUCAGAUCUUUGGAAAUCUGUUAGACAAGGACUUACUGCAGUUUCCAAUUUUUUUUAUGUAGACCAGGCUGUAGUUUUAUAGAUUACAUUCAAUGUUUAAAAUAGAACAUUUUUCUUAUGUAUGUAGUAAAUUUCUAUGUAUGAAAUGGUAGCAUACUAAAGUUAACAAGUUACUCUGUUCUUUUGUGAAUUCCAGUAAUUCUCUUCUUUCCUACGUGCAGGUAGAAACUUUCUUUCCUCAAGAAGCCUACAGGCUGGUAUGGGUAUCUUUGUAGUAACUAUUGCUUUUUAGAAGUUAUUAUAAAAAUUGCCUGCAUGAAUACAAUGUUUUGAGACACUUUGAAAAAGAGGCCUCUGCCCUUAGUAAUCCAUCUCUGUACCUUUGACUGCAUUCUGAAAUGUGCAGGGAUGGAGGAGUGAGCCUGGAUUUUCAAUGACUUGCAUUUAGCAGGUGUCUGUGAUUAUUGGCUGUAGAAGAGCCCUAGCAUACUGCGUCUUCUUGCUAUCAGCUAGCCAUCUGAUUCUGCCCCUUUAUUCGACUCUAGUUGGACGUACCCAGAGUGCUGGGUCCCUCAGUACUGGAGAGAUAUGGACAUACUGGCAGGACUACAACAGAGGAUCAAAAGAUGCUGAAGGGACUAGAGUAUCUCUGCUAUCAGUAAAGACUGAGGGAGUGGGAACUUGUAGUCUGAAGAAGAUACAGGAAGGACAUCAUGAAUAUCUAUGAAUACCUGAAGUGGCAGUGCAAAGAUGUCCGAGCCAGGUUGUUUCUGUGGUGGCCAGUGCCAUGGCAAGAGGUGCUGGACACAAACUGAAAUGCAGAAUGUUCUGUCUUAACAUUAAGAAGCAGUCUUUACUGUGCGGGCGAUGGAGCAUGGGUGGUGAAGUGUUCGUCCUUGGAGAUACUCAGAAGCUACGUGGACUUGGUUCUGGGCAGGUUGCUCUAGGUGGCUCUGCUGGAGCAGAGGAUUGGACAAGAUGACCUCCAGAUGUCCCUUCCAAUUUAAACUAUUCUGUCAUUGGUUACUGGACGUUAAUCCUUGUAAUUUCCAACCUGUGUAUAUACAGUGUAACUUGUACUGGAAGCUGUAAGAGAAGGAGGAGGUAAGAGCAUCAGUAUCUGGAUAGGGAUAAACCUUUUAUUAUGUUAUUUCAUGAAGAUCUCAUGGAUGAGUCUUACUAAAACAUGGUUAUGAGUAGUUCUCCAAAACUGUAAAGUAGUCUUAGUUGCCCUACCAGAAUCCAACUGAGAUUAAUUCCUUGCUUCUUUGCUGUAAAAUUGAAUAAAGGAUCUCAACGAAAGCAUAGGACUUUUGCAAAGCAGAGGUUUAAGUUACCGCUAAGAGACAGUCAUGAACCAAACACCAAAUUUAAUUAGGACUCCAUCUUUAUGUGAACGGUAGAUGUUUCUUAAUUUCUUCUAUUCUUUUAAGGGAGGAAGAAAUCAAAAUGAAGUAGCAUAGGAUACAAUCCUAGUAAAUGAAGGAUACUGCAUAUUGAAGAAUGCUUCUUCAAGUUAAAUGCACAAAAAUAACAUUCUGUGGGUAGUUUACAUGCUAAGUGUACCAUGGGUGAACUGUGAAAUAUAACAGUAGAAGGAAACUCUCUAUAAUUAGCAGUGCUAUACGUUUGUUGUGUAUUGUUUUGUGGUGUUUUUUUUAAUAGAAAACAUAUUAUCAUAAAUCUUAUGAAUUACCCAUUUAUAGCUAGAAAAAAACAGAAGGACAAUCUGCUUUCUGCUGAGAAAAACACACACAAAAGAAUAAAACAAAAAGUAACAGCUUUUGAGUGCCACGAAAUUCUUAGAUCUUGAAAGAUUUAUGUUUUUUUUUUCCUCACCUUGAGCUUUCAGAGAUCACUUCUGGAAGGACUGUGAAAUGAGUUUUUAGAAAUGUAUGAAGGGGAUAGGAAUGUAAGUGAGUAGGUUUGUGCUUAGUGUGUUUUGGUGUUUGCUUGUAAAACGUUGUCGCCUUCUUGCAAGGAGCUGCUUUCUGAUUGUGAGCAGAGAUGAUGCGUUAGUUGUGUAUGCCUGCAAAACAUACUUGACUGAAUGACAGAGAUGGAGAUUGCCAAGAGAGAAAGCAGUACUGUGACGCUUUCCUACCAGAAAUGUAAAUGACAAUUCUCUCUUGAAUAGUUUUUUCCUAGAUCCAAAUGCAUGAUUGCAGGAACUCAAAGCUAGGACUUGUAAAGGUGUCAGGUAUGGUAAUAUUGCAUGUAUUUCAGAAACUGAAAAUUUAUUGGAACAGAAUUUUUGUUGGGAAAUUGUUGGAUUUCAGGUUUUCCUUGCAGUUUACAUUUCCAUGAAUGCUCACCAAUCCCAGGUUUUCUUUGUUUAGGACUGUUUAGAACUGAGUGGUGUUUGUGCAGUAUAUUGAGUUUGACAGUCAGUGAAGUGGUUGGGGGAAAGAAGAGGGUUUGUAAGUAUUUUUUACCUGUGUACUGACUGAUAUGUUUUUGUGGAGCAGGAUUAAUUUGUAUGAUGUAUCCUGGUUGUGUAGAGUUUCCUACUAAUUGCCUUCUGCUCUAUAUGUAGAAUGCAUAUAUGUUUGCACACACCAAGCAUUGUAAAUUUAUUGUCA